CCCCCCCCCGCCAAGUACGGGGGCCGGCACACGGUGACGCUGAUCCCGGGCGACGGCAUCGGCCCCGAGCUGAUGCUGCACGUCAAGGAGGUCUUCAGGCACGCCUGCGUCCCCGUGGACUUCGAGGAGGUUCGGGUGGGCUCCGAGGCCCCCGAGGACGACGUUCACAACGCCAUCAUGGCCAUCCGGCGCAACGGCGUCGCCCUCAAGGGCAACAUUGAGACCAACCACAACCUGCCCCCCACCCACAAAUCCCGCAACAACCUGAUCCGGUGAG